rnacentral:rRNA from 1 species
GACGAACCGUGCGAACGUUGUUCGGAAUCACUGGGCUUAAAGGGCGCGUAGGCGGGCUGUCAAGUCUGGGGUGAAAUGCCGCGGCUCGACCGUGGAACUGCCUUAGAUACUGACGGCCUCGAGGAAGGUAGGGGCAUGCGGAACUGUAGGUGGAGCGGUGAAAUGCGUUGAUAUCUACAGGAACUCCGGUGGCGAAAGCGGCGUGCUGGACCUUUUCUGACGCUGAGGCGCGAAAGCUAGGGGAGCAAACGGGG